AUUAUUCAUAACGACUCUCGGCAACGGAUAUCUCGGCUCUCGCAUCGAUGAAGAACGUAGCGAACUGCGAUACUUGGUGUGAAUUGCAGAAUCCCGUGAACCAUCGAGUCUUUGAACGCAAGUUGCGCCCGAAGCCAUUUGGUCGAGGGCACGUUUGCCUGGGUGUC
rnacentral:rRNA from 3 species